AUUUCAAAACUGUACCUGCAUGUCUGAACCUGGAUUUGAUAUUCUAGUUCCCUUCUAAUAAAAUAAUGUUCUUUUCUGCAGAUGUGCCAUUGCAACAGGGUGGCCAAGAAAGGACUCUGCAUCCAGCACAUCUUCAAGAAUCACUCAGAAACCAAGAGAAUAUUUCCCUACCAGUUCAUGCUCCACUGAUUAUAAGGCUCAACAAUGCUGAAGAUGAACAGGACGAUGAAGAGGAUGAUGACAAAGAGAACUAUGUUUCUAAUUGGGUGCCUAAGACUGCUGCAGAAAUUGAAGAGGAAAGAACCAUAAAGGAAAUAUGCUAUAAAACUGGAGAGUAUUACAGGAUCCAGCACCCCCACAAACACCAAUCAACAGAAACUGUGUCUUCACCUCAGGAAAAGGAAAUAUUACUCUUGGAAGCUAUGGAGCGAGACUUAGAGAAAGGCAAGUAAUAUUCAUCUUCUCAGACAAUAUUUACCAUUAAUAGUUAACAUUUAUUUUUCCCCACAUAUAUACACAUAGUGUCUCAGACAUGGUGACUACCUGUAUUGAUUGUGGAUGCAAAGAGUAGAAAUGGGCUGUAAAACCUACGUGUACUAUCUGGAGAUACACAACCAUUCCAUAAAUUGGAUCAGAUAGGAUUCAUAAAUAUCAUUCAUGAAAAGUGAGGAGUUAAAGAAUGAGUAGGUUAUUUGGAGCUCGUUUUUUACUUUGGAGCCGUAGCUUUUCUUUAACCUGUGUGUUAUAGAAUUGUCUUAGAGACCAUGAGAGUUGUACGUCAGUUACAGCAGACAGGAUCCAAACAUCUAAGAAAAUACAAAGAAGAAUAUAAGAGGAGAGGCUAAAGGAAAUUGCACUAAACUAAUCACUGUCUCACAGAGGCGGGAGGAAGAGAAUGGCAGUGCCAUUCCCUGUGCUGACACACCAGCCGCUCACACAUUCUUUCUGUUGCCUUUCCAGGGGAUGGUAAUACAAUUCCUACAACAUUUAAUAAUACAAAAAGAGGAGAGAGCUGGGAAAGGAGAAUACCAACAGAGCGUAUUCCCAGAAGAGAUUGUACUAGUUUUAGGAUUAUACUGCAAAGAAAAAUUCCUCUAUGCUCAUUGCAAUUUAUGUUUUCCUGUUUAAUUUUGGGAAAGAAAUGGUUCUGUGGAGUAAGAAACA